GACGAACGCUGGCGGCGUGCUUAACACAUGCAAGUCGAACGGAAAGGCCCUGCCUUUGUGGGGUGCUCGAGUGGCGAACGGGUGAGUAACACGUGAGUAACCUGCCCUUGACUUUGGGAUAACUUCAGGAAACUGGGGCUAAUACCGGAUAGGAGCUCCUGCUGCAUGGUGGGGGUUGGAAAGUUUCGGCGGUUGGGGAUGGACUCGCGGCUUAUCAGCUUGUUGGUGGGGUAGUGGCUUACCAAGGCUUUGACGGGUAGCCGGCCUGAGAGGGGGACCGGACACAUUGGGACGGAGAUACGGCCCAGACUCCAACGGGAGGCAGCAGUGGGGAAGAUUGCACAAUGGGCGGAAGCCUGAUGCAGCAACGCCGCGUGCGGGAUGACGGCCUUCGGGUUGUAAACCGCUUUCGCCUGUGACGAAGCGUGAGUGACGGUAAUGGGUAAAGAAGCACCGGCUAACUACGUG
rnacentral:rRNA from 1 species